GACGAACGCUGGCGGCGUGCUUAACACAUGCAAGUCGAGCGGUAAGGCCCUUUCGGGGGUACGACGAGCGGCGAACGGGUGAGUAACACGUGGGUGACCUGCCCUCAGCUCUGGGAUAAGCCUGGGAAACUGGGUCUAAUACCGGAUAUGACUCCAUGACGCAUGUCGUGGGGUGGAAAGCCUUGUGCGGCUGGGGAUGGGCCCGCGGCCUAUCAGCUUGUUGGUGGGGUGAUGGCCUACCAAGGCGACGACGGGUAGCCGGCCUGAGAGGGCGACCGGCCACACUGGGACUGAGACACGGCCCAGACUCCUACGGGAGGCAGCAGUGGGGAAUCUUGCGCAAUGGGCGAAAGCCUGACGCAGCGACGCCGCGUGAGGGAUGACGGCCU
rnacentral:rRNA from 1 species